UGGAAUGAUACAAAAUCAAAAAGAAAAAACGAGAAAACAUUGGGUAUAAUAGGAACAUCGUUAUUGAUACUCCUUUACUAUCUGUUUUUUUUUCUUUAGCUAUUUUUCUUCUUUCUCUAG
rnacentral:ribozyme from 14 species